UUCCCUCUGUAUGUAAAUUAAGUUUUCUUGCUAAAUCUUCGGUCACAAAUGAUCGCUGUGAUCCCUCGUCAAAAAGUAUAUGGGUAUCUAUACAUAAGUUGUCUGACCAUACUGGUGCGACGGCAGUUUUCAAAAGUACAUGCGUGCGUACGUCAUUUGACGAGGAGUGUAGAAUUGUAGUGUCCUCUUCUUUCUGAUUUGUAUCAUUUACAAUAUUUACAGAUGUCUGAUUCAAAUUUGGUGAGUUCUGUAAAUGUCCAUUGCUAAUAGGAAAAUUCGUAUUCUGUGGGCUGUCAUUUGCAUUUUGCUGGAUAUGUCUGCUGGUGUCAUUAUCAUGGACAAUGUUGCUGUUAAAUGGGUUAUCGGUACACAGACUUGUGUGAUGUCUUUUAUUGCAAAUGCGGCAAAACUGAUUUGAAUAACAUUCGUGUAUACGGUGUGUACCUAGACAGUUGAAACACAAUUGUUCGCGUUUUACAAUAUCCAUGCGUGUUUCUAGAUCAGAUACAUUCGUGCAAUGCGCUGGUGCGUGUAAAUCGUGACAGAAUACACAAGGUUUAUAUUGCAAAUUCUGGUGUGUAUGUCUCCUAUCUAGAGUUUGGUUUGGUGGUUUUAUCCAUUUUGUCCCGGUAAAGAAAGACGAUGCACUUGGUAAAUUGUUAGAAGUUUCAGUGUCUUGUCCCGCGUCAAUUAUGUUUAUUUCAUUGCAAAUACUUUUCCGGAGGUCUCGUAAUAACCAGUUUUCUGUUCCAUGUUCACGGGCAAGGUUUUUUUUAAUUUCUCCC
rnacentral:lncRNA from 1 species